UACGUAGGCAGCAAGCGUUGUUCGGAGUUACUGGGCGUAAAGGGUGCGUAGGCGGCUUUUUAAGUCUGGUGUGAAAUCUCCCGGCUCAACUGGGAGGGUGCGCCGGAUACUGAGGGGCUAGAGUGUGGGAGAGGAAAGUGGAAUUCCUGGUGUAGCGGUGAAAUGCGUAGAUAUCAGGAGGAACACCGGUGGUGUAAACGGCUUUCUGGACCAUAACUGACGCUGAGGCACGAAAGCGUGGGGAGCGAACAGG
rnacentral:rRNA from 1 species